AGCGGGUGUGCCUGAAAGGGAAUCGGAACACAGGUGCUGCAUGGCUGUCGUCAGCUCGUGUCGUGAGAUGUUGGGUUAAGUCCCGCAACGAGCGCAACCCUUAUCCCUAGUUGCCAUCGGGUCAAGCCGGGCACUCUAGUGAAACUGCCUCGGAUAACGAGGAGGAAGGUGGGGAUGACGUCAAGUCCUCAUGGCCUUUAUGUCCAGGGCUACACACGUGCUACAAUGGUCGGUACAAACCGUCGCAAACCCGUGAGGGGGAGCUAAUCGGAAAAAGCCGGCCUCAGUUCGGAUUGGAGUCUGCAACUCGACUCCAUGAAGCUGGAAUCGCUAGUAAUCGCGGAUCAGAACGCCGCGGUGAAUACGUUCCCGGGCCUUGUACACACCGCCCGUCACAUCACGAAAGUGGGCCGUACUAGAAGCUGGUGUGCUAACCGCAAGGAGGCAGCCAUCCAAGGUACAGCUCAUGAUUGGGGUGAAGUCGUAACAAGGUAGCCGUAA
rnacentral:rRNA from 1 species